ensembl:lncRNA
GUCAAAUUUUUCUGGAAGAUAAUGACUUCUGAGUCCUCUUGGUGUACUUCAGAGCCACCUUUGGAUAAACAAGAGUUUUGACUGUCACUCUUCAAAAUAAAGAUUCAUCCUGUUGGCCAGUGACUGGAGCAUAGCACCAUAAAAUGGGGUCCUCAAAGGCAUUAAUUUGACCAGAUGAGCCUCCAGAAUCCUGUAAACGUGCAGUGAGAAAAUAGAGGUAUGUAAAAGCCUGUGCCCCUAUUAGAAACAUUUCUCCUACUCAAAUCACUAUACAAAUAAAUCAGGGAAAGAAAAAAAAAAAGGAUGCAGGUAGCCCGAAGGCACUUAACAGAGC